rnacentral:rRNA from 1 species
UACGUAGGGUGCGAGCGUUAAUCGGAAUUACUGGGCGUAAAGCGUGCGCAGGCGGUUUUGUAAGACAGCUGUGAAAUCCCCGGGCUCAACCUGGGAACUGCGGUUGUGACUGCAAGACUUGAGUACGGCAGAGGGGGGUGGAAUUCCUGGUGUAGCAGUGAAAUGCGUAGAUAUCAGGAGGAACACCGAUGGCGAAGGCAGCCCCCUGGGCCUGUACUGACGCUCAUGCACGAAAGCGUGGGGAGCAAACAGG